CCCACCAUCCAUCCAGCCAGCCCACCAUCCAGCCAGCCCACCAUCCAGCCCACCAUCCAGCCAGCCCACCAGCCUGCCAGCCAGCCAGCCCACCAGCCAGCCAGCCAUCCAGCCCACCAUCCAGCCAGCCCACAUGCAGCCCACCAUCCAGCCAGCCCACCAGCCUGCCAGCCAGCCAGCCAGCCCACCAGCCAGCCAGCCAGCCAUCCAGCCCACCAUCCAGCCAGCCCACAUGCAGCCCACCAUCCAGCCAGCCAGUCAGCACACCGUCCAGCGAGCCAGCCCACCAUCCAGCCCACCAUCCAGCCAGCCCACCAUACAGCCCACCAACCAGCCCGCCUGCCAGCACACCGUCCAGCCAGCCAGCCAGCCCACCAUCUAGCCAGCCCAGCAUCCAGCCCACCAUGCAGUCCACCAUCUAGCCCACCAUUCAGCCAGCCAGCCCACCACCCAGCCCACCAUCCAGCCCACCAGCCAGCCAGCCCGCCAUCCAGCCCACCAUCCAGCCCACCAUCCAGCCCACCAUCCAGCCAGCUCACCAUCCAGCCCCCCAUCCAGCCAGCCUGCCAGCCCACCACCCAGCUAACCAUCCAGCCAGCUCACCAUCCAGCCCACCAUCCAGCCAGCCAGCCCACCAUCCAGCCCACCAUCCAGCCCUCCAUCCAGCCAGCCCUCCAUCCAGCCAGCCCAGCAUCCAGCCAUCCAGCCCACCAUCCAGCUAACCAUCCAGCCAGCUCACCAUCCAGCCAGCUCACCAUCCAGCCAGCUCACCAUCCAGCCCACCAUCCAGCCAGCCCACCAUCCAGCCCACCAUCCAGCCCUCCAUCCAGCCAGCCCACCAUCCAGCCCACCAUCCAGCCAGCCCACCAUCCAGCCCACCAUCUAGCCAUCCAGCCCUCCAUCCAGCCAGCCCACCAUCCAGCCAGCCAACCCACCAGCCAGCCCACCAUCCAGCCCUCCAUCCAGCCAGCCAGCCCACCAGCCAGCCCACCAUCCAGCCAGCCCUCCAUCCAGCCAGCCAGCCCACCAUCCAGCCCACCAUCCAGCCCUCCAUCCAGCCAGCCAGCCCACCAUCCAGCCAGCCCACCAUCUAGCCAGCCCACCAUCCAACCCACCAUCCACCCUCCAGCCAGCCCACCAUCCAACCCACCAUCCAGCCCAACAUCCAGCCCUCCAGCCAGCCCACCAUCCAACCCACCAUCCAGCCCACCAUCCAGCCCACCAUCCAGCCCACCAUCCAGCCCACCAUCCAGCUCACCAGCCAGCCCACCAUUCAGCCAGCCAGCCAGCCCACCAGCCAGCCCACCAUCCAGCCCACCAUCCAGCCCUCCAUCCAGCCCACCAUCCAGCCCUCCCUCCAGCCCUCCAUCCAGCCAGCCAGCCCACCAUCCAGCCAGCCCACCAUCCAGCCAGCCCACCAUCCAGCCAGCCCACCAGCCAGCCCUCCAUCCAGCCAGCCAGCCCACCAUCCAGCCCACCAUCCAGCCAUCCAGCCCACCAUCCAGCCCUCCAUCCAGCCCUCCAGCCAACCCACCAUCCAGCCCACCAUCCAGCCCUCCAUUCAGCCCACCAUCCACCCUCCAGCCUGCCCACCAUCCAACCCACCAUCCAGCCCAACAUCCAGCCCACCAGCCAGCCCACCAUCCAGCCCUCCAGCCAGCCCACCAUCCAGCCCACCAUCCAGCCCAUCAUCCGGCCAGCCCACCAUCCAUCUCACCAGCCAGCCCACCAUUCAACCAGCCAGCCCACCAGCCAGCUCACCAUCCAGCCCACCAUCCAGCCAGCCAGCCCACCAUCCAGCCAUCCCACCAUCCAGCCCACCAUCCAGCCCUCCAUCCAGCCAUCCAGCCCUCCAUCCAUCCAGCCAGCCAGCCCACCAUCCAGCCAGCCCACCAUCCAGCCCACCAGCCAGCCCACCAUCCAGCCCACCAUCCAGCCAGCCCUCCAUCCAGCCAGCCCACCAUCCAUCCAGCCAGCCAGCCCACCAUCCAGCCCACCAUCCAGCCAUCCUGCCCACCAUCCAGCCAUCCAGCCCUCCAUCCAGCCCUCCAUCCAGCCCUCCAUCCAGCCCACCAUCCAGCCCACCAUCCAGCCCACCAUCAAGCCCACCAUCCAGCCAGCCCACCAUCCAGCCAGCCCACCAUCCAGCCAGCCCUCCAUCCAGCCAGCCAGCCCUCCAGCCAGCCCUCCAUCCAGCCCACCUUCCAGCCCACCAGCCAACCCACCAUCCAGCCCACCAGCCAGCCCCCCAGCCAGCCCACCAGCCAGCCCCCCAUCCAGCCCACCAGCCAGCCCACCAUCCAGCCCACCAUCCAGCCCACCAGCCAGCCCUCCAGCCAACCCACCAUCCAGCCCACCAUCCAGCCCACCAUCCAAUCCUCCAGCCAGCCCACCAUCCAGCCCACCAUCCAGCCCACCAUCCAGCCCUCCAUCCAGCCAGCCAGCCCACCAUCCAGCCAGCCCACCAUCCAGCCCACCAGCCAGCCCACCAUCCAGCCCACCAUCCAGCCAGCCCUCCAUCCAGCCAGCCCACCAUCCAUCCAGCCAGCCAGCCCACCAUCCAGCCCACCAGCCAGCCCACCAGCCAUCCAGCCCACCAUCCAGCCCUCCAUCCAGCCCUCCAUCCAGCCCACCAUCCAGCCCACCAUCCAGCCCACCAUCCAGCCAGCCCACCAUCCAUCCCACCAUCAAGCCCUCCAUCCAGCCAGCCAGCCCACCAUCCAGCCCACCAUCCUGCCAUCCAGCCCUCCAUCCAGCCCUCCAUCCAGCCCUCCAGCCAACCCACCAUCCAGCCCACCAUCCAGCCCUCCAUUCAGCCCACCAUCCACCCUCCAGCCAGCCCACCAUCCAGCCCACCAUCCAGCCCACCAUCCAGCCAGCCCACCAUCCAUCUCACCAGCCAGCCCACCAUUCAACCAGCCAGCCCACCAGCCAGCCCACCAUCCAGCCCACCAUCCAGCCCACUAUCCAGCCCUCCAUCCAGCCCACCAUCCAGCCCACCAUCCAGCCCACCAUCCAGCCAGCCAGCCAGCCCACCAUCCAUCCCACCAUCAAGCCCUCCAUCCAGCCAGCCAGCCCACCAUCCAGCCCACCAUCCAGCCCACCAUCCAGCCCUCCAUCCAGCCCUCCAUCCAGCCCUCCAGCCAACCCCCCAUCCAGCCCACCAUCCAGCCCUCCAUUCAGCCCACCAUCCACCCUCCAGCCAGACCACCAUCCAGCCCACCAGCCAGCCCACCAUCCAGCCCUCCAGCCAGCCCACCAUCCAGCCCACCAUCCAGCCCACCAUCCAGCCAGCCCACCAUCCAUCUCACCAGCCAGCCCACCAUUCAACCAGCCAGCCCACCAGCCAGCUCACCAUCCAGCCCAACAUCCAGCCAGCCAGCCCACCAUCCAGCCAUCCCACCAUCCAGCCCACCAUCCAGCCCUCCAUCCAGCCCUCCAGCCCUCCAUCCAGCCCUCCAUCCAUCCAGCCAGCCAGCCCACCAUCCAGCCAGCCCACCAUCCAGCCAGCCCACCAUCCAGCCCACCAGCCAGCCCACCAUCCAGCCAGCCCACCAGCCAGCCCACCAUCCAGCCAGCCCACCAUCCAGCCCACCAUCCAGCCAGCCCACCAUCCAACCAGCCAGCCCACCAGCCAGCUCACCAUCCAGCCCACCAUCCAGCCCACCAUCCAGCCAGCCAGCCCACCAUCCAGCCAGCCCACCAUCCAGCCAUCCCACCAUCCAGCCCACCAUCCAGCCCUCCAUCCAGCCAGCCAGCCCACCAUCCAGCCAUCCCACCAUCCAGCCCACCAUCCAGCCCUCCAUCCAUCCAGCCAGCCAGCCCACCAUCCAGCCAGCCCACCAUCCAGCCAGCCCACCAUCCAGCCAGCCCACCAUCCAGCCCACCAGCCAGCCCACCAUCCAGCCCACCAUCCAGCCAGCCCUCCAUCCAGCCAGCCCACCAUCCAUCCAGCCAGCCAGCCCACCAUCCAGCCCACCAUCCAGCCAUCCAGCCCACCAUCCAGCCAUCCAGCCCUCCAUCCAGCCCACCAGCCAGCCAGCCAGCCCACCAUCCAUCCCACCAUCAAGCCCACCAUCCAGCCAGCUCACCAUCCAGCCCACCAGCCAGCCCACCAUCCAGCCCACCAUCCAGCCAGCCCUCCAUCCAGCCAGCCCACCAUCCAUCCAGCCAGCCAGCCCACCAGCCAGCCCACCAGCCAGCCCACCAGCCAGCCCACCAGCCAUCCAGCCCACCAUCCAGCCCACCAUCCAGCCCUCCAUCCAGCCCUCCAUCCAGCCCACCAGCCAGCCCACCAUCCAGCCCACCAUCCAGCCAGCCAGCCAGCCCACCAUCCAUCCCACCAUCAAGCCCUCCAUCCAGCCAGCCAGCCCACCAUCCAGCCCACCAUCCAGCCAUCCAGCCCUCCAUCCAGCCCUCCAUCCAGCCCUCCAUCCAACCCACCAUCCAGCCCUCCAUCCAGCCCUCCAUUCAGCCCACCAUCCACCCUCCAGCCAGACCACCAUCCAGCCCAACAUCCAGCCCACCAGCCAGCCCACCAUCCAGCCCUCCAGCCAGCCCACCAUCCAGCCCACCAUCCAGCCCACCAUCCAGCCAGCCCACCAUCCAUCUUACCAGCCAGCCCACCAUUCAACCAGCCAGCCCACCAGCCAGCUCACCAUCCAGCCCACCAUCCAGCCAGCCAGCCCACCAUCCAGCCAUCCCACCAUCCAGCCCACCAUCCAGCCCUCCAUCCAGCCCUCCAGCCCUCCAUCCAGCCCUCCAUCCAUCCAGCCAGCCAGCCCACCAUCCAGCCAGCCCACCAUCCAGCCAGCCCACCAUCCAGCCCACCAGCCAGCCCACCAUCCAGCCAGCCCACCAUCCAGCCCACCAUCCAGCCAGCCCACCAUCCAGCCCUCCAGCCAGCCCACCAUCCAGCCCACCAUCCAGCCCACCAUCCAGCCAGCCCACCAUCCAUCUCACCAGCCAGCCCACCAUUCAACCAGCCAGCCCACCAGCCAGCUCACCAUCCAGCCCACCAUCCAGCCAGCCAGCCCACCAUCCAGCCAUCCCACCAUCCAGCCCACCAUCCAGCCCUCCAUCCAGCCCUCCAGCCCUCCAUCCAGCCCUCCAUCCAUCCAGCCAGCCAGCCCACCAUCCAGCCAGCCCACCAUCCAGCCAGCCCACCAUCCAGCCCACCAGCCAGCCCACCAUCCAGCCAGCCCACCAUCCAGCCAGCCCACCAUCCAGCCCUCCAUCCAGCCCUCCAUCCAGCCCUCCAUCCAGCCCACCAGCCAGCCCACCAUCCAGCCCACCAUCCAGCCAGCCAGCCAGCCCACCAUCCAUCCCACCAUCAAGCCCUCCAUCCAGCCAGCCAGCCCACCAUCCAGCCAUCCAGCCCUCCAUCCAGCCCUCCAUCCAGCCCUCCAGCCAACCCACCAUCCAGCCCACCAUCCAGCCCUCCAUUCAGCCCACCAUCCACCCUCCAGCCAGACCACCAUCCAGCCCAACAUCCAGCCCACCAGCCAGCCCACCAUCCAGCCCUCCAGCCAGCCCACCAUCCAGCCCACCAUCCAGCCAGCCCACCAUCCAUCUCACCAGCCAGCCCACCAUUCAACCAGCCAGCCCACCAGCCAGCUCACCAUCCAGCCCACCAUCCAGCCAGCCAGCCCACCAUCCAGCCAUCCCACCAUCCAGCCCACCAUCCAGCCCACCAUCCAGCCCUCCAUCCAGCCCUCCAGCCCUCCAUCCAGCCCUCCAUCCAUCCAGCCAGCCAGCCCACCAUCCAGCCAGCCCACCAUCCAGCCCACCAGCCAGCCCACCAUCCAGCCAGCCCACCAUCCAGCCCACCAUCCAGCCAGCCCACCAUCCAGCCCACCAUCCAGCCAGCCCACCAUCCAACCAGCCAGCCCACCAGCCAGCUCACCAUCCAGCCCACCAUCCAGCCAGCCAGCCCACCAUCCAGCCAUCCCACCAUCCAGCCCACCAUCCAGCCCUCCAUCCAGCCCUCCAGCCCUCCAUCCAGCCCUCCAUCCAUCCAGCCAGCCAGCCCACCAUCCAGCCAGCCCACCAGCCAGCCAGCCCACCAUCCAGCCCACCAGCCAGCUCACCAUCCAGCCCACCAUCCAGCCAGCCCUCCAUCCAGCCAGCCCACCAUCCAUCCAGCCAGCCAGCCCACCAUCCAGCCCACCAUCCAGCCAUCCAGCCCACCAUCCAGCCAUCCAGCCCUCCAUCCAGCCCUCCAUCCAGCCCACCAGCCAGCCCACCAUCCAGCCAGCCAGCCCACCAUCCAUCCCACCAUCAAGCCCACCAUCCAGCCAGCCCACCAUCCAGCCAGCCCACCAUCCAGCCAGCCCUCCAUCCAGCCAGCCAGCCCUCCAGCCAGCCCUCCAUCCAGCCCACCUUCCAGCCCACCAGCCAGCCCACCAGCCAGCCCACCAGCCUGCCCCCCAGCCAGCCCACCAGCCAGCCCACCAGCCAGCCCCCCAUCCAGCCCACCAGCCAGCCCACCAUCCAGCCCACCAGCCAGCCCUCCAGCCAACCCACCAUCCAGCCCACCAACCAGCCCACCAUCCAGCCAUCCAGCCAGCCCACCAUCCAUCCAGCCAGCCCUCCACCCAGCCAGCCAGCCCACCAUCCAAUCCUCCAGCUAGUCCACCAUCCAGCCCACCAUCCAGCCCUCCAUCCAGCCCUCCAGCCCUCCAUCCAGCCCUCCAUCCAGCCAGCCAGCCCACCAUCCAGCCAGCUCACCAUCCAGCCCACCAGCCAGCCCACCAUCCAGCCCACCAUCCAGCCAGCCCUCCAUCCAGCCAGCCCACCAUCCAUCCAGCCAUCCAGCCCACCAGCCAGCCCACCAGCCAGCCCACCAGCCAGCCCACCAUCCAGCCAUCCAGCCAUCCAGCCCACCAUCCAGCCCACCAUCCAGCCCUCCAUCCAGCCCACCAGCCAGCCCACCAUCCAGCCCACCAUCCAGCCAGCCAGCCCACCAUCCAUCCCACCAUCAAGCCCACCAUCCAGCCAGCCCACCAUUCAGCCAGCCCACCAUCCAGCCAGCCCUCCAUCCAGCCAUCCAGCCCUCCAUCCAGCCCACCAUCCAGCCCACCAGCCAGCCCACCAUCCAGCCCAACAGCCAGCCCCCCAGCCAGCCCCCCAGCCAGCCCCCCAUCCAGCCCACCAGCCAGCCAGCCCACCAUCCAGCCCACCAGCCAGCCCACCAGCCAGCCCUCCAGCCAGCCCUCCAUCCAACUCACCAUCCAGCCCACCAUCCAGCCCACCAUCCUGCCCUCCAGCCAGCCCACCAUCCAGCCAGCCCAUCAGCCAGCCAGCCAGCCAGCCCACCAUCCAGCCCUCCAGCCAGCCCACCAUCCAACCCACCAUCCAGCCCACCAUCCAACCCUCCAGCCAGUCCACCAUCCAGCCCUCCAUCCAGCCCACCAUCCAGCCCACCAUCCAGCCCACCAGCCAGCCCACCAUCCAGCCCAACAGCCAGCCCCCCAGCCAGCCCCCCAGCCAGCCCCCCAUCCAGCCCACCAGCCAGCCAGCCCACCAUCCAGCCCACCAGCCAGCCCACCAGCCAGCCCUCCAGCCAGCCCUCCAUCCAACUCACCAUCCAGCCCACCAUCCAGCCCACCAUCCUGCCCUCCAGCCAGCCCACCAUCCAGCCAGCCCAUCAUCCACCCAGCCAGCCAGCCAGCCAGCCCACCAUCCAGCCCUCCAGCCAGCCCACCAUCCAACCCACCAUCCAGCCCACCAUCCAACCCUCCAGCCAGUCCACCAUCCAGCCCUCCAGCCAGCCCACCAUCCAACCCACCAUCCAGCCCACCAUCCACCCUCCAGCCAGCCCACCAUCCAACCCACCAUCCUGCCCACCAUCCAACCCACCAUCCUGCCCACCAUCCACCCUCCAGCCAGCCCACCAUCCAACCCACCAUCCAGCCCACCAUCCAACCCUCCAGCCAGUCCACCAUCCAGCCCUCCAUCCAGCCCUCCAUCCAGCCCACCAUCCAACCCACCAUCCAGCCCACCAUCCAGCCCACCAUCCAGCCCACCAUCCAGCCAGCCCACCAUCCAGCCCCCCAUCCAGCCCUCCAGCCCUCCAUCCAGCCCUCCAUCCAGCCAGCCAGCCCACCAUCCAUCCAGCCCACCAGCCAGCCCACCAUCCAGCCCUCCAUCCAGCCCACCAUCCAACCCACCAGCCAGCCCUCCAUCCAGCCCACCAGCCAGCCCACCAGCCAGCCCACCAUCCAGCCCUCCAUACAACCCACCAUCCAGCCCACUAUCCAGCCCUCCUGCCAGCCCACCAUUCCAGCCCACCAUCCAGCCCUCCAGCCAGCCCACCAUCCAGCCAUUUAA
rnacentral:lncRNA from 1 species